rnacentral:tRNA from 2 species
CGGGACGUGGCGCAGCUUGGUAGCGCACUUGACUGGGGGUCAAGGGGUCGUCGGUUCGAAUCCGGCCGUCCCGACCA